rnacentral:lncRNA from 1 species
AUAAUACGUAAAUCUAUAUGUAUAGUGAUAUAUAUAUAUAUAUAUAUAAUUUAUAUACAUAUAAUUGAAAAUUUAUUAGGGAAACGAGACAAUUUAAACUUUUACAUCAAGAGUACAUUUUGUACCUACCCCACACUUUUCCUAAAUAAUUACAAUCUUCUGCCACUCACAAAAACACAGUCGUUUUAUCUAAUUACAAACCAGAAAUCUUAUCCACGACCGUGUCUUCUCCAAAUCGCAACUCCAAUAAUCCGUAAAGGCUUUCCGAGGUGGCUCAUGGUCUCGCCGUCGUCGACUCACUGUACUCUGCGGCCGUUCUCACCUAGCCACCGUGGCUCUUCCUCCACGGCCUCCAAUCUCCAUCUCUGCUGCUUGCUGCAUGACGCAUCUGAAGUCCACGACGUCUCCAUUCCGUGUCUCUUCUCUGUAGUGGGCUUCGUGUCAUGGCCGCCGGCGUCGUCACGCUCAAGAUCUGGCGAAGAGAAAAUUCGAUCCAUUCCAGUUCCUGGCUUCUCCGUAUUUGCACUUUAGGUCCCUCACAUUUCUGAUUAUUUUCAAAUCGACCAAAGGUUUUGUAUAUUGAGAAACAUCCUUCUGAAUCAACCUUGGAUCUUUCAAUUGUGUUAUCUUGACCCAUCGAAUAUUCUAGUUUUGCAACCUUGGUAUCUGAAUUUUCUAUUGUUUUCACGUUCGCCCCAAUACUUCUAAAUUCACAAGAGUAACCUCACGAUUUGCCUCAAACUUCUCAAGUAUGCACUUUAACCCUGUUAUAUGCAAUUAUGCAUGACAAUGCAAUAUAUACACCUAAU